rnacentral:rRNA from 1 species
AUUGAACGCUGGCGGCAGGCCUAACACAUGCAAGUCGAACGGUAACAGGAAGCAGCUUGCUGCUUUGCUGACGAGUGGCGGACGGGUGAGUAAUGUCUGGGAAACUGCCUGAUGGAGGGGGAUAACUACUGGAAACGGUAGCUAAUACCGCAUAACGUCGCAAGACCAAAGAGGGGGACCUUCGGGCCUCUUGCCAUCGGAUGUGCCCAGAUCGGAAUAGCGAGGAGGUGGGGUAAAGGCUCACCUAGGCGACGAUCCGUAGCUGGUCUGAGAGGAUGACCAGGCACACUGGAACUGAGACACGGUCCAGACGCCUACGGGAGGCAGCAGUGGGGAAUAUUGGACAAUGGGCGAAAGCCUGAUCCAGCCAUGCCGCGUGUGUGAAGAAGGGCUUCGGAUUGUAAAGCACUUUAAGUUGGGAGGAAGGGCAGUAAGUUAAUACCUUGCUGUGUUGACGUUACCAACAGAAUAAGCACCGGCUAACUUCGUG